UCUAAGCACAUGCCUUAAUACGGUGAAGCCGCGAAUAGCUCAUUACAACAGCCACCGUUUAUUAGAAUAUCGUUAUCCUACUUGGAUAACUGUGGCAAUUCUAGAGCUAAUACAUGCAAAAAAGCUCCGCCCGCGAGGAACGAGCGCAUUUAUUAGAAUAAAAACCAAUCGGGUCUCGGCCCGUAAUUUGGUGAAUCUGAAUAACUUUGCCAAUCGCACGGUCCUAGUACCGGCGAUGUAUCUUUCAAGUGUCUGCCUUAUCAACUUUCGAUGGUAGGUUAUACGCCUACCAUGGUAGUAACGGGUAACGGAGAAUAAGGGUUCGACUCCGGAGAGGGAGCCUGAGAAACGGCUACCACAUCCAAGGAAGGCAGCAGGCGCGCAAAUUACCCACUUCCAGAACGGAGAGGUAGUGACG
rnacentral:rRNA from 1 species